rnacentral:rRNA from 1 species
AACGCGAAGAACCUUACCUGGACUAGAAUGUGAGGGAAUGUCGGGUAAUGCCGACAGUCCGGGAAACCGGACCCAAAACAAGGUGCUGCAUGGCUGUCGUCAGCUCGUGUCGUGAGAUGUUGGGUUAAGUCCCGCAACGAGCGCAACCCUUAUCAACAGUUGCCAUCAUUAAGUUGGGAACUCUGUUGAGACUGCCGUUGAUAAAACGGAGGAAGGUGGGGAUGAUGUCAAGUCAUCAUGGCCUUUAUGUUCAGGGCUACACACGUGCUACAAUGGCCGGUACAAAACGUCGCAAUCUCGUAAGAGGGAGCUAAUCGCAAAAACCGGUCUCAGUUCGGAUUGAAGUCUGCAACUCGACUUCAUGAAGUUGGAAUCGCUAGUAAUCGCAAAUCAGCAUGUUGCGGUGAAUACGUUCCCGGGUCUGUACACACCG